UGAGGAAUAGUGCGCAAUGGGGGAAACCCUGACGCAGCAACGCCGCGUGAGUGAGGAAGGUUUUCGGACCGUAAAGCUCUGUCGAGCGGGAAGAAAUGCAUGGUGGCUAAUAUCCAUCAUGCUUGACGGUACCGCUAAAGGAAGCACCGGCUAACUCCGUGCCAGCAGCCGCGGUAAUACGGGGGGUGCGAGCGUUGUUCGGAAUUAUUGGGCGUAAAGAGCGUGUAGGCGGCUGAAUAAGUCAGAUGUGAAAUCCCUGGGCUUAACCCAGGACGUGCAUUUGAAACUAUUCGGCUAGAGUAGGGGAGAGGAAAGUGGAAUUCCUGGUGUACAUGUGAAAUUCGUAGAUAUCAGGAGGUACACCGGUGGCGAAUGCUACCUUCUGGCCCUAUACUGACGCUGAGACGCGAGAGCGUGGGUAGCCAAUA
rnacentral:rRNA from 1 species